rnacentral:rRNA from 1 species
AAUCAACGCUGGCGGCGCGCUUAACACAUGCAAGUCGAACGAGAAAGGGGAGCAAUCCCUGAGUACAGUGGCGUACGGGUGAGUAACACGUGGAUGAUCUAUCUCUUUGUGGGGAAUAACCCUGGGAAACCGGGGAUAAUACCGCAUAAGCUCGAGAGAGGAAAGCAGCAAUGCGCUGAGAGAGGAGUCCGCGGCCGAUUAGCUAGUUGGUAGGGUAAAAGCCUACCAAGGCAUAGAUCGGUAGCCGGCCUGAGAGGGCACACGGCCACACUGGCACUGAAACACGGGCCAGACUCCUACGGGAGGCAGCAGUGGGGAAUCUUGCACGAUGGGGGCAACCCUGAUGCAGCGACGCCGCGUGAGCGAUGAAGCCCUUC